UACGGAGGGUGCAAGCGUUAUCCGGAUUCACUGGGUUUAAAGGGUGCGUAGGUGGGUUGAUAAGUCAGUGGUGAAAUCUUCAAGCUUAACUUGGAACUGCCGUUGAUACUAUCAAUCUUGAAUAUUGUGGAGGUAAGCGGAAUAUGUCAUGUAGCGGUGAAAUGCUUAGAUAUGACAUAGAACACCGAUAGCGAAGGCAGCUUGCUACACAAUAAUUGACGCUGAGGCACGAAAGCGUGGGGAUCAAACAGG
rnacentral:rRNA from 1 species